rnacentral:rRNA from 1 species
GAUGAACGCUAGCUACAGGCUUAACACAUGCAAGUCGAGGGGCAGCAUGAGCUCAGUUAUUCUGGGUUUGAUGGCGACCGGCGCACGGGUGAGUAACGCGUAUCCAACCUGCCCUUUACGCGGGGAUAGCCUUCUGAAAGGAAGUUUAAUACCCGAUGAAUUCGUUUAGUCGCAUGGCUUGAUGAAGAAAGAUUUAUCAGUAAAGGAUGGGGAUGCGUCCCAUUAGCUUGUUGGCGGGGUAACGGCCCACCAAGGCGACGAUGGGUAGGGGUUCUGAGAGGAAGGUCCCCCACAUUGGAACUGAGACACGGUCCAAACUCCUACGGGAGGCAGCAGUGAGGAAUAUUGGUCAAUGGGCGCGAGCCUGAACCAGCCAAGUAGCGUGGAGGACGACGGCCCUACGGGUUGUAGACUCCCUUUUAUAAGGGGGAUAAAGUUGGCCAUGUAUGGCCAUUUGCAGGUACCUUAUGAAUAAGCAUCGGCUAAUUCCGUGCCAGCAGCCGCGGU